rnacentral:rRNA from 1 species
CACGUAGGGGGCGAGCGUUGUCCGGAUUUAUUGGGCGUAAAGAGCUCGUAGGCGGUUCGCUAAGUCGGGUGUGAAACCUCCAGGCUCAACCUGGAGACGCCACCUGAUACUGGUGUGACUAGAGUCCGGUAGGGGAGUGUGGAACUCCUGGUGUAGCGGUGAAAUGCGCAGAUAUCAGGAAGAACACCAGCGGCGAAGGCGGCGCUCUGGGCCGGUACUGACGCUGAGGAGCGAAAGCGUGGGUAGCAAACAGG